AUUUCUUCCUUUUAUAAAUAAAACCCUCCAAGUUUCUCUGCCUAGGUAUAUGACACAAUAGUGGAACACUGCAGUUUCCUCCUUUUUUCUAGGUCCACACUGGUUUGAGUUCUGGCCAAUGCCAUAUGAGUGGAAAUAAUUUGUUCCCUUGUUUGUCACAGCAUUAAAAGGAAUCUCGUUGCUUGUCACUUCCUCUUUCCUUUUUCCGAAGGGGUAGAACACAGAUGUACUGGCGGUGAGCCAUCUCGGAUCAUGUUGAUAAAGCAGCCCGCUGAAGAAUAGUAAAGCAAUAAGACAGAAGAUACUUGAAUCCCUAGCUGGUAUGAUCCAAGCUUGUAUGAUCCAAACUAUGCCAUGUCAGUUUCUGGACCCAAAUCUUAAAGACUGUGGCCGCUUCCACUUCCUGUCUCUUGGAAUACUUCCUAUCAGAGAAAGUCCAAACAGCCCUGUUGAGAGGCUCAUGUGCAGUGGAACUGCAGCUCCUACUGUACAGCCUCAGCUGAUCUUCCAGCCAACAGCCAGCACCAUCUUGCUAGCCAUGUGAGUCAGCCAUCUUAAAAAUAGAUAUUCCGGUCCUAGUCACGUCACCUCAACUGAAAGCUUGUGGAUUAGAGAAGCACCAUCCUGUCAAUCCCUGCCCAAAUUUCAGCUAUGACAGAGGAGAUUAUAUCAAACCAGCACUUCUAUUAAGAACCAGAAAAUCUGAAAAACAGGAAGCAUUUCGAGGUAUCAGAAAACCUCCAAGGAACUUAGUCAAGGAAGUAAGGUUCUGGAAAAAAUGUAUUCAGGUUGGUUGAGAAGACCAUCCAUCAGAGAGACAUUGAACCACUUCUUCAUCCUUCCCUCCAGUGGUUUUGUACCCUGAAGCGCAACCAUAACGCAUGUUCUCUUGAAUUUUAUACAAUAACUUUACAUCAGAGAUGUAACCAUUACUCAGGUCAGGCUUAGUGCAUUUUUCUAUGGGAAAAAAAAUUAUUUAACUUAAUGAUGAAACUAAGCUUGUCUUUUACUAAAUUGUAAAAUUAAGCCAAAAGUAUAAUGUUAUUAUUGGCGAUUUCAUUUUGGAAAUAUCUGCAUAAUUUUUUUGAAAAUGGAUUCAAUUUAACACUGACUCUCUUUGUAUUUACUAAUUUUAGUUCUUAUAGUAAUUUCUACCCCUACCACAUCUACUUCUAGAUAGGUUUACUAGAUAUAUCAACCACAAUAGCCAUAUUCAACAUCCUCUUUUAAACGAAACUGGCUCAACCAAAGCCCCUUACUCUGGGUCACCUGCCCUAGUGGAAGAUCAUUGAUAGUUUGAUGAUAGUGUAGCCUGAUAUAAAAUAAUGAAAUGAGUCAAUUAGAUUACCUUCUCACAACUUUGAACUCAAACUUUCAAUUCAAAAUUGAAAAACACAUUUUUCAAUGGGUAUCAUGAGAGAAGUUGGCACAUGAAGAGAGAUGAGUCUUACAAAUGAUAAAGCAUUAGAGUAGCAAUCUUGCCCUUCCAGAGGCCAGAGUUUCAAGCAUUUUUCUGGCAUCUUAUGCUUAAUUAUCAAAAUAAGUUUCUUGUUACUUAAAGUAAAUUACCUCUCUUUGCCUUGCAAUAUGAUAAUUUCAGUUAUUACCCUAUUCCCUUCAACAGAGUAUUAUUAAAAACAGAUACAGAAAAUAACAUUUUAAUGUAAAAGCAUUAUUUACUGGAUUUC
rnacentral:lncRNA from 1 species